ensembl:lncRNA
AAAAAUGUUACUAAAACGCUUUUACCUCCGUAAAAAUACUUACUCCUUUCUUAACUUAUUUAAUUAUUUAUUUAACUGUUUAGUUAAUUGUUUAUUUAUUCAACUGUUUAUUUAACUGCUUAUUUAUUUAACUGUUUAGUUAAUUGUUUAUUUAUUAAUUAUUUAUUUAAUUAUUUAUUCAACUAUUUAUUUAACUGUUUAUUUAUUUAACUGUUUAUUUAUUCAACUGUUUAUUUAACUACUAAUUUAUUUAAUUUAUUUUUUAAGUAUGUAAAAACAACUUUAAUAUAUAAACAUUAAUCAUUGCUUCAUUGUACAUGCUUGAACCUCAUAUAAUACAAAAUUUAAAAUAUGAAAGCUUUUGAAGCUUAUUUGGUACAAAAUUCCAUAUAUGAGAAGUAUGACAAAAUAAGCCAUAUACAUAUAAUCUCACAUGCUACCAUGUGUACAUAUAUUUGUAUAUAUAUACGUUCGUCCCCCUAACACAUAUAAUAACGAAAAACCGUUAAUGUUUUAUAAUUUAUUUUGAAAUUUAAAAUGUUCGUUGAAUUGAAAAACUUUAAUGAUUGUUAUUAAUGGGACAUGUAUGUUAAUUGGUCAAGUACUAUAUUUCAAUAUUUGUAUUUUAACUUUUUUUUAACAGAACUUUCAUAUAAAACUGUUAAUCUUUCAUGUCAAAAGUGUUCAUAUACAUGAAUUUUUAAAUUUACUAAUUUAUUCGAGACAAUUGUAAUAUGAACUAUUUAAACAUAAGUAAUGCUUAAACCUUCUAAAAAAAACCUGCAAAAAGAUGAACAUAUUGUGCUUGCAUAGUACGUAUAUAUAUAUAUAUAUAUAUAUGUACAAUGUGAUUAUAUAUACAUUUUUAUUUUAGUUAUAUUUAUAUUUUUUACUUUUUAUUCGAGCAAACGUACAUCUAUCUAUUGCUAUCAUUGACAUAUAAUUUUUUUUUUAAAGAAUCCUAAAAAAAAAUUCUCAAAAAUUGAUACACAUUUAUAAUAUGUCAUAAAAAAAAAAAAAAAAAAAAAAAAAGUUUUCUUUGUUGAAAGUUGCUAAUAAGAACAAAAAAAAAAGUGGUUUAAAAAAAGUGGUUUAACUUACAAAACUUAGAAUGAAAAAAGAACCAGUUAGGGGCAAUAAAAAAGGUAAAGCUUAUGGUUUUUCAACUAAUUUCAAUAGAACAAAUAAAAAAAUAUCAAAUGAAAGAAAAAAGAGAAAUGAAUUAAAUUUUAAUUCGAUUAUAACAGCAGAACAAAAUAAUGAAGAUAGCAAUAAAAUAAAUUUUUUUUCUGCUGAUGGUAAUGAAAAAGAGCAAAACAGCAAAUUUGUACAAACAAAUCCAAAGCCAUUAUAUAAAUUUGGUGAGAAUAAACAAUUUUUAGAUUCUAACAAAGAAUUUAAUGAAAAAUCUAAAACUGGUGAUAAUAACAUACUAACAGACACUGACAGAUUUCAAAAUGCGUUUGAAAACAAAAAAGACGGAGUAAAUAGUGUUUAUAAUAGUACUGGAAAUUAUCAAAAUAAUAGUAAUAGCAAAGUACGUUUAAAUAAGUAUAAUGUACAUAAUGUAGGAAACGCUAAGGGAUUAUACUCAAAAAAAAAAUACAACAAUUUGAAGAAAUCUAAUAAAAAGGGUCUCAAUCAGAACAUUCAAAGUCAAAACAAUCAGAUUCAAAACAAUCAGAGCCAAAAAAACUAUCAGACUUAUGGUUUGAAUAAAGGCGGUUUAUAUAAAAAAAGUAGUAUUAACACAAAUAAAGCCGUAGCAAGAAACAAUAAUGUUGUUAAUAAAAGUACUAAUAAGAGUAGUAUUUUGGGUAAAAAUUUAUAUUUAAAUAAACAAUUGAGCAAAGGAUAUGAUAGUUGUAAAUAUAACUAUGUGCCAAAUCAUUCUAAUCAUUUAAAUUUAACAUAUACACAUAAAAUAUAUAUGAACAAAAACAAUAUAUACAAUAAACAUGAUGUAAAAAAAAAAUUAAUUCAAAAAAAAAGAAAUGUGAAUAAGAACAUUAAUUAUAAUGAGAAUAAAAACUAUUUAUCAGCAACUGAUAAUGGUAUUUGUAAUAGUGACAUAAACAAUAAUGACAUGAACAAUACAUAUGAAGAUAAUAACAUGAACAAUAAUGAAAUGAAUAAUAAUGACAUGAACACUAAUGACAUGAACAAUACAUAUGAAGAUAACAUAAAUAAAUAUAGUAAACAAUAUGUCCCAACUAAUAAUAAUGUAAAUGUUAAUAAUAACAAUCAGAUUAAUAAAGGAGAAUUGCAUAAAGUUGAUGGUAAUACAAUUUUUUAUGAUGGAGCAAAAAAUAUGAGUACAACAUGUAAUUAUAUUAAAAGCGAUAAUAAUAAAAAUUUUGACAACAUAUGUAAUAAUUGCAAUAAUACUGGUAAUAAUGAGAAUGAUUCUAAGAAUGUUAAUGAUAAGAGACGUAAAUAUGUUCAAUAUAAGUCAAAAAUAUAUAAUUUAAAUAAAACAGGUUACGAAAAAAAUAUUUUGCAUUUAGAUGGAACUGAAAAAGUAACAAAAUGUAGUGUUUUGGUUAGAUAUGUAAAAAAAAUAACAUUUACUUUGAAUAAAAUAUUCGAUAAUUUUUUAUAUGUUAGUAACAUCGAAUGUAUUCAUUUAUUGGAAGAAAUAAUAGAAUUAUUACAGAGUAUAUAUAAAAUUAUAAAAUAUGUAAAAUAUAAAAAUUUCCAUGCUAUUUUUUUUGGUAUAAUUUUAAAUACAUAUACGUAUUUAUGUGUGAAAAUGUUAUCAGAAGGUGAAGAAUUAAAAAUAAUUUUAUUAAAAUGUUUAGUUUUAUUGUUCAAAUUAUUGACUAAAAUAAAUACUAAUUUAUUUGAUGUUAGUGAUGUUUUUUUUGCAUAUAUCAAAAAUUUAAAGAAUGGUAUUAGUUAUAUAGACAUUAUAAAAAUAAAAAAUGUGAUGGCUAAAAGAAAGACUAUAACAAAUGAUAAUAAUAAUAAUAAUAAUAAUAAUAAUAAUUCUUUAUAUGAUAAAAUGUUAAACUCGUUUUUAUGUUUUUUUACAUACUGUUCUGAAAGUCAAAAUAAUUUAGUCAGAAUAGAGACAUUAAAAAACUUUUUUUAUAUAUUGAAAUUUUUGCAUAAAAAAUCGUUAAAAAGAGGUACUAUUUGUAGGGGUUAUACUUGUGAAAGUAAUAAUCGUGUUGGUAGUAGGGAUACUAGUAUUAAUGGUGAUAGUAAUAAUAUUAUUAAUGAUGGAAGUAAUAAAUUUAAGAAUGAUAUGAUGGGGUACACUAUAACAGCAAANNNNNNNNNNAACAAUAUGGAAAACAGUAAUAACAACAAUAUGGAAAACAGUAAUAACAACAAUAUGGAAAACAGUAAUAAAAACAAUAUGGAAAACAGUUAUAAAAACAAUAUGGAAAACAGUAACAACAACAAUAAGGACAAGAGUAGUAAUAAAAGAGGUGGUAAAACUGCAUUUAUGUUUAAUAAAAGUUUUAUUAUUAAUUGUUUAAAGUAUAAAGAAUAUUCAUAUGUUCGUCCAUUCAAUUCAAGCAAAAUAUUAGAUGUUUAUGUAUACAACUGUAA